CCGCUUCUUGGGCUGCGCGCAGUGCUCUACGUGGUUCGUGUCCGUAGACCCAAGGUCUUCCAGUUUGCUGUCCGCCGACGAACUGGGGCGGGAGGCCCUGGCAGUAGGCAAGCGCACCAGAGAGAGAUUUGGGGUGCAGGAAGUAAGACCUACGUAGAACCAGGAAGCAUGUAUACUGCCUUUUCCAGAACUGAGUAACUUUUCAUAAUUCGUAGUAAACUGAAAAGGAUGGAAGAGCGUGCCUUUCUAACUUAAAAGAAUACCAGACUGCGCACCACCCCAGGCAGUGUGGACAAACUGCUGGCAAGACCCAUUUCAUUGAUGGGAAACUAUUCUCCACUUGGCAGUGAGGGGUAGUUCAAGUCUGGGAUAAACUUGCACCUUCAUAAGCUGAUGGCAGGUUGGACACACAAAAUGUGCCAUUUCUGAGCCUCACCUAAAGAAGAGCCACUUCCUGUUCUUUGUUUGGAGCUCUGUAGACCCCUCACCAUCUCUAUGAAGACAGAACCAACACCUGCUUUCUUCAGUCCUCAGCCACCAGACCACAGGAGGGAGCCCAGCUAAGGUCAGAAUUUCCCCUUAGCCUAAGUUCCCCAGCCACAGAUUUUUAAAUG